GAUGAACGCUGGCGGCGUGCCUAAUACAUGCAAGUCGAGCGAACGGACGAGAAGCUUGCUUCUCUGAUGUUAGCGGCGGACGGGUGAGUAACACGUGGAUAACCUACCUAUAAGACUGGGAUAACUUCGGGAAACCGGAGCUAAUAUCGGAUAAUAUUUUGAACCGCAUGGUUCAAAAGUGAAAGACGGUCUUGCUGUCACUUAUAGAUGGAUCCGCGCUGCAUUAGCUAGUUGGUAAGGUAACGGCUUACCAAGGCAACGAUGCAUAGCCGACCUGAGAGGGUGAUCGGCCGCACUGGAACUGAGACACGGUCCAGACUCCUACGGGAGGCAGCAGUAGGGAAUCUUCCGCAAUGGGCGAAAGCCUGACGGAGCAACGCCGCGUGAGUGAUGAAGGUCUUCGGAUCGUAAAACUCUGUUAUUAGGGAAGAACAUAUGUGUAAGUAACUGUGCACAUCUUGACGGUACCUAAUCAGAAAGCCACGGCUAACUACGUG
rnacentral:rRNA from 1 species